rnacentral:lncRNA from 1 species
AGAAGUUAUUUCACAAUUUGGAACCAAUUUAAUUACUCAUAAAAGAGUAUAAUCAAGCUACGACUCACAAGUCUUUAAAAUAGAGGAAAUGAAAUCAAUUUACAAAAGAAAUCAUUUCACAAUUCAGAAUCAAUUUGAUUACUCAUCAACCCCUCGUAAUUCCUCUCAAUGUUCCCUCAAAUGCAUGUACAGAAUAACAAGCAUGGAGAAUCAAGAUUAUAGAGGAAUCUACUACAAUAUCAAUCAAUAUGCUCAAGUGGAAUCAAUUCACACUUGGCGACAUUCAUGAAAAUGAAUUAAGGAUGCUCAUAGUGCAAAGUACAUGACUCCCACUCACCUGUCAACCCGGCACAGCCCUGAUUACGCCUCCAAAAAUCUACAGCAGGCAGUGGAUAACUUCUUCCUCUUGUUCCCUAGCUUCUUGCCCAACUGUGACAUGCAUUUACAAUACAUUUAGUCUUGUAUCAAGGGCUAUAAUCUACGUGCCAAUUAUAACAUAGGGAACUUUAAUUGAUUCAACUCCCCUGUUCCCUAAAUCUUUUCUUUUCUUUCUUCUUUUUCUUUUUAAUUAAUUAACUCACCAUUUAUGUGUAUUAGGGACUCCUUUGCAUGAGUACAAGGUCCCUUUUAGCUUGAUCUAGGCUUAAUACUCUAUUAUAGCAUGAAAUCCCCUAUUUUCCACCCGGAUAAACAGUAACCCGAACUGACAGUGGGUUACUUCAUCCCGAUUUUGAUCCACUUUCAGAACUCCAAAUUUGAUGAAAUUUUUACCUAACAUUCUACACUCAUAGAGGAUUCCAAAGAGAUAACAUGCAUCAUCAUCGGAGGCCGUUUGACCCCCUAAAUAAUUCGCCGAAGUUGGAACUUCGACACAGUUUUUCCGUAGUGCCGGAAAAAUUUGUCGAAAUCCGAUUCUUUCUCUUUUAACCACCUCUACAACCCUUACCU